rnacentral:rRNA from 1 species
GAUGAACGCUGGCUACAGGCCUAACACAUGCAAGUCGAGGGGAAACGACGGGGAAGCUUGCUUCCCCGGGCGUCGACCGGCGCACGGGUGAGUAACGCGUAUCCAACUUGCCUCUCACUGAGGGAAAACCCGUCGAACGUCCGCCUAUAACCCCAUCGUCUCGUCUGUGGGCAUCCAACGACGACGAAAGAUUUCAUCUGGCAGGGGUGGGGAUGCGUCUGAUUAGCUUGUUGGCGGGGUAACGGCCCACCAAGGCUACGAUCAGUAGUGGUUCUGAGAGGAAGGUCCCCCAGAUUGGAACUGAGACACGGUCCAAACUCCUACGUGAGGCAGCAGUGAGGAAUAUUAGUCAAUGGGCGAGAGCCUGAACCAGCCGAGUAGCGUGCAGGAAGACGGCCCUAUGGGUUGUAAACUGCUUUUAUGCGGAAAUAAAGUGAGAGACGUGUCCCGCAUUGCAGGUACCGCAUGAAUAAGGACCGGCUAAUUCCGUG